rnacentral:rRNA from 1 species
UACGGAAGGCAGCAGUGGGGAAUAUUGCACAAUGGGCGCAAGCCUGAUGCAGCCAUGCCGCGUGUAUGAAGAAGGCCUUCGGGUUGUAAAGUACUUUCAGUCGUGAGGAAGGUGUUAAGGUUAAUAACCUUAGCAAUUGACGUUAGCGACAGAAGAAGCACCGGCUAACUCCGUGCCAGCAGCCGCGGUAAUACGGAGGGUGCGAGCGUUAAUCGGAAUUUACUGGGCGUAAAGGGCACGCAGGCGGUUAAUUAAGUUGGAUGUGAAUCCCCGGGCUUAACCUGGGAAUGGCAUUCAAGACUGGUUAGCUAGAGUCUUGUAGAGGGGGUAGAAUUCCAUGUGUAGCGGUGAAAUGCGUAGAGAUGUGGAGGAAUACCGGUGGCGAAGGCGGCCCCUGGGACAAAGACUGACGCUCAUGUGCGAAAGCGUGGGGAGCAAACAGGAUUAGAUACC